AUGGCCAUCCGAACUGGAAAUCACGCUUUUUCAUGGAAUGAUAUACGUAACUUGCAUAAUAAAGGUGACCACCCCUGGGUGGUUUUGGGAGAUUUUACCGAAAUAUUACUCUCCUCAGAAAAAGAGGGAGGAAAUGCGAGACCAAAUGCAAUGAUGAGAGAGUUUCAUAAUUGUUUGGGAGAGUGUGGCCUGGUUAAUAUGGGAUGUGUCGGUGAUCUGUUCACAUGGAGGAGAGGCAAAAUCAGGGAAAGAUUGGAUCGAGCGGUUUGUAAUGUGGAUUGGGCAAAUAAAUUUCCUCGGGUUGCGGUCAUAAACGAAGAGCAUGUACACUCGGAUCAUCGUCCCCUCAUAUUUUGA
rnacentral:rRNA from 1 species